GAUGAACGCUGGCGGCGUGCCUAAUACAUGCAAGUCGAGCGAACGGACGAGAAGCUUGCUUCUCUGAUGUUAGCGGCGGACGGGUGAGUAACACGUGGAUAACCUACCUAUAAGACUGGGAUAACUUCGGGAAACCGGAGCUAAUACCGGAUGAUAUUUUGAACCGCAUGGUUCAAAAGUGAAAGACGGUCUUGCUGUCACUUAUAGAUGGAUCCGCGCUGCAUUAGCUAGUUGGUAAGGUAACGGCUUACCAAGGCAACGAUGCAUAGCCGACCUGAGAGGGUGAUCGGCCACACUGAAACUGAGACACGGUCCAGACUCCUACGGGAGGAAGCAGUAGGGAAUCUUCCGCAAUGGGCGAAAGCCUGACGGAGAAACGCCGCGUGAGUGAUGAAGGUCUUCGGAUCGUAAAACUCUGUUAUUGGGGAAGAACAUAUGUGUAAGUAACUGUGCACACCUGGACGGUACCUAUCCAGAAAGCAACGGCUAACUACGU
rnacentral:rRNA from 1 species